GUGGGGAAUAUUGGACAAUGGGCGCAAGCCUGAUCCAGCCAUGCCGCGUGAGUGAUGAAGGCCUUAGGAUUGUAAAAUUCUUUCACCGGGGACGAUAAUGACGGUACCCGGAGAAGAAGCUCCGGCUAACUUCGUGCCAGCAGCCGCGGUAAUACGAAGGGGGCUAGCGUUGCUCGGAAUUACUGGGCGUAAAGGGCGCGUAGGCGGACAGCUUAGUCAGAGGUGAAAGCCCAGGGCUCAACCUUGGAAUUGCCUUUGAUACUGGCUGUCUUGAGUUUGGGAGAGGUGAGUGGAACUCCGAGUGUAGAGGUGAAAUUCGUAGAUAUUCGGAAGAACACCAGUGGCGAAGGCGACUCACUGGCCCAAUACUGACGCUGAGGCGCGAAAGCGUGGGGAGCAAACAGGAUUAGAUACCCUGGUAGUCC
rnacentral:rRNA from 1 species